UCCUUCUUAGCUCAGUUGGUAGAGCGCGUCACUAGUAUGGGAGCUAAAGAAAAUGGCUGAUGACGAGGUCAGUCGUUCAAGUCGGCUAGAAGGAA